rnacentral:rRNA from 1 species
CCUACGGGUGGCAGCAGUGAGGAAUAUUGGGCAAUGGACGCAAGUCUGAACCAGCCAAGUAGCGUGCAGGAUGACGGCCCUCCGGGUUGUAAACUGCUUUUAGUUGGGAAUAAAAGGGGGCUCGUGAGCGCCGUAUUGUAUGUACCAACAGAAAAAGGACCGGCUAAUUCCGUGCCAGCAGCCGCGGAAAUACGGAAGGUCCGGGCGUUAUCCGGAUUUAUGGGGGUUAAAGGGAGCGUAGGCCGGCUUUUAAGUCAGCUGUGAAAGUCCGGGGUCCAACCGUGGAAUUGCAGUUGAAACUGGAGGUCUUGAGUGCACACAGAGAAGCCGGAAUUCAUGGUGUAGCGGUGAAAUGCUUAGAUAUCAUGAAGAACUCUGAUCGCGAAGGCAAGUGUCCGGGGUGCAACUGACGCUGAGGCUCGAAAGUGCGGGUAUCAAACAGGAUUAGAUACCCUGGUAGUC